GACGAACGCUGGCGGCGUGCUUAACACAUGCAAGUCGAACGGUGACCCAGGGCUUGCCCUGGUGAUCAGUGGCGAACGGUGAGUAACACGUGGGCAACCUGCCCCUGACUUCGGGAUAACUCCUCGAAAGAGGAGCUAAUACCGGAUACGACCACUUCGGACAUCCGAUGGUGGUGGAAAGUUUUUCGGUCAGGGAUGGGCCCGCGGCCUAUCAGCUAGUUGGUGGGAUAAUGGCCUACCAAGGCGACGACGGGUAGCCGGCCUGAGAGGGCGACCGGCCACACUGGGACUGAGACACGGCCCAGACUCCUACGGGAGGCAGCAGUGGGGAAUAUUGCGCAAUGGGCGAAAGCCUGACGCAGCGACGCCGCG
rnacentral:rRNA from 1 species